rnacentral:sRNA from 1 species
GCUGCAAUUGUUGAUGCAACAUGUGCUGCUGCGCCAGUGCGUGGGCAUGUUGCUGCAGUUGCUGAUGCGGCGAUUGUUGCUGUUGUUGCUGCUGCUGUUGGGACUGCGACUGCGAUUGCUGCUGCUGCUGCUGUUGUUGCUGCUGCUGCUGCUGC